UGAGAUUAUAAUGGUACAUGGCCAAGAUGUUCAAACGUUCAUAGAUGACCAGCAGGGUCAAAUAAUAAUAAUAAUCACAGUGGUUGUAGAGGGUGCAACAGGUCAGCACCUCAGGAGUAAAUGUCAGUUGGCUUUUCAUAGCCGAUCAUUCAGAGUUAGAGACAGCAGGUGCGGUAGAGAGAGAGAGUCGAAAACAGCAGGUACGGGACAAGGUAGCACGCCCGGUGAACAGGUCAGGGUUCCAUAGCUGCAGGCAGAAUAGUUGAAACUGGACAGGGCCAACCAGGCAGGAUAUACCGACAGAUACUACCUCAUGUGUUCCGGACGGACAGAAUGAAGCAGAUGCAUGACGGCCCAGUAACCAGUCACUUUGGCGUGGAACGAACACUUGCCCGGCUGCAGACAAGAUACUACUGGUACCGAAUGAGAGAGGAUGUCACACUAUGGUGUCGUACAUGUACCAGCUGUGCCGCUAAAGCCAGACCUUCGACGAAGCCCCAAGCACCUAUGGGCACUGUUCUCGUGGGAGUACCUAUGGAGAGGAUCGCCCCAUGAACAAGACAGAAUGCUAGAAUCGCUACAUAUUGGUGGUUCAAUACUAUUUCACAAAGUGGGUGGAAGCCUACCCUCUACCCAACUAUCAAGCCGCAACAGUGGCAGAAGUUCUGACAGCUGAAUGGGUGUGUCGCUAUGGAGCCCCACAGACACUCCACAGCGACCAAGGCUCCAACUUCAAAUCAGAAGUCUUCCAAAGAAUGCGUGAACUGUUAGGAAUCGAGAAGACUCUCACAACCCCUUUCAGACGGCAAUCUGACGGGCAAGUCAAAAGAUUUAAUGCCAUUCCACAGGAGAUCUUAGCCACUACCACAGAACGUUGUCAUUGGGACUGGGACCUUAAACCCCCUGAAGAGAGAUAAAUAGGGGUCCUGCAUUCACACUGGAAUUACAUGUGCAAGCCCUACAGUGGACUGCUAGAGCUUCUGGACAUCAGAACAUUGAUUACUCACCUCGAACUGGAAGAAGAUUUUUAUUUAAUGAGUCCGACGCGAAGGAUAUACUGCUUUGUCAAGACAAGGCCCAAAUCUCCAUCAUCAGCAUGAAGAAAAGACAAAGGAAAAGGGGAAGGAGGGUGGGGUGCCUUUGAGACGUGCCUGAACGAUGACACCGAUAAUGUAGAGCUGUCUGGCUUAUUCGUGCAUCUGCAGGACAGAGCAGCUACGUCUGCAUGUCACAUGUGCAACCAGAGGAAAAAAAUCUAGACCACCUUUACUCCACACACAGAGACACAUACAAAGCUCUCCCUCGCCUUCCAUUUGGCAAAUCUGACCAUAAUUCUAUCCUCCUGAUUCCUGCUUACAAGCAAAGACUAAAUCAGGAAGUACCAGUGACUCGCUCAAUACGGAAGUGGUCAGAUGACACGGAUGCUGAACUACAGGACUGUUUUACUUGCACAGACUGGAAUAUGUUCCAUGAUUCAUCCAAUGGCAUUGAGGAGUAUACCACCUUAGUCACUGGCUUCAUCUAUAAGUGCAUCGAUGACGUCGUCCCCACAGUGACCGAACGUACAUUUCCCAACCAGAAACCAUGGAUUCUAGGCAACAUCCGCACUGAGCUAAAGGCUAGAGCUGCCACUUUCAAGGAGCAGGACUUUACUCUGACCCUUAUAAGAAAUCCCGCUAUGCCCUCAAACGAACCAUAAAACAGUCAAAGCCUCAGUACAGGACUAAGAUUGAAUCCUACUACACCGGCUCUGACGCUCGUCCGAUGUGGCAAGGCUUGAAAAAUAUUACAGACUACAAAGGGAAACCCAGCCGUGAGCUGCCCAGUGCCACGAGCCUACCAAAUUAGCAAAAUGCCAUUUAUGCUCGCUUCGAGGCAAGCGAUAUUGAAGCAUGCAUGAGAGCACGAGCUGUUCCGGACGACUGUGUGAUUACACAUAGCCAAUGUGAGCAAGACCUUUAAACAGGUCAACAUUCACAAAGCCACGGGGCCAGAUGGAUUACCAGGACGUGUACUCAAAGCAUGCGCGGACCAACUGGCAAGUGUCUUCACUGACAUUUUAAACCUCUCCCUGACCAAGUCUGUAAUACUUACAUGUUAGAAACAGACCACCAUAGUCCCUGUGCCCAAGAAAGCAAAGGUAACCUGUCUAAAUGAUUACCACCCCAUAGCACUCACGUCGGUACCCUUGAAGUGCUUUGAAAGGUUGGUCAUGGCUCACUUCAACACCAUCAUGCCAGAAACCCUAGAAACCAUAGACCCCUUCGCAUACCACCCCAACAGAUCCACAGAUGACACAAUCUCAAUUGCAGUCCACACUGCCCUUUCCCACCUAGACAAAAAUACACCUGUGUGAGCAUGCUGUUCACUGACUACAACUCAGCGUUCAACACCAUAGUGCCCACAAAGCUCAUCAAUAAGCUAAGAACCCUGGAACUAAACACCUCCCUCUGCAACUGGAUCCUGGACUUCCUGACGGGCCGCCCCAGGUGGUAAGGGUAGGCAACAACACAUCUGCCAUGCUGAUCCUCAACACGGGAGCCCCUCAGGGGUGCGUGCUUAGUCCCCUCCUGUACUCCCUGUUCACCCACGACUGCGUGGCCAAGCACGGCUCCAACACCAUCAUUAAGUUUGCUGAUGACACAAUAGUGAUAGGCCUGAUCACCGACAAUGACAAGACAGCCUAUACAGAGGAGGUCAGAGUCCUGGUCGUGUGGUGCCAGGACAACAACCUCUCCCUCAAUGUGAGCAAGACAAAGGAGCUGAUCGUGGACUAAAGGAAAAAGGGGAUGAACAGGCCCCCAUUAACAUCGACAGUCCUGAAGUGGAGCGGGUCCAGAGUUUCAAGUUCCUUGGGGUCCGCAUCACCAACAAACUAUCAUGGUCCAAACACACCAAGACAGUUUGAACGAGGGCACGACACACCUUUUCCCCCUCAAGAGACUGAAUAGAUUUCAGAAAGUUAUACAGCUGCACCAUCGAGAGCAUCCUGACCGGUUGCACCACCGCCUCGUAUGGCAACUGCUUAGCAACUGACCGUAAGGCGCUACAGACGGUAGUGCGUACGGCCGUGUACAUCCCUGGGGCCAAGCUUCCUGACACGCCAGUCACCCAAGUCAAUGACUGUUCUCUCUGCUACCGCACGGCAAGCGGCACCGGAACUCCAAGUCUAGGACCAAAAGGCUCCUUAACAGCUUCUAUCCCCAAGCCAUAAGACUGCUGAGCAAUUAAUCAAAUGGCCACACAGACUAUUUACAUUGACCCCCCCAAAUUACCUGGACUAACAUUGACUUGGUACCGGUUCCCCCCUGUAUAUAGCCUCCUUAUUGUUAUGUAAUUUUCUUGUGUUACCUUUUGAUUAUUAUUAUUUUUUUUUUUUACUUUAGUUAGUGAAUAUUUUCUUAACACUAUUUCUUGAACUGCAUUGUUGGUUAAGGGCUUGUAAGUAAGCAUUUCACAGUAAGGUCUACUACACCUGUUGUAUUCGGCGCAUGUGACAAAUAAAAUUAGAUUUGAUUUGAUUUGAGAUAACGUCAGUGUAGUCAGCAGUGCUACAAUGGGACCCAUGGUGCUAAUGAGUGGUUGCCUAGCAACUGCAUCUAGGGGUGGGCCAGCCAGGUUUUCACAGCAGCACCGUGCCUGGGCAGGGAGGACUUCAGACAUAGCUCAACCCAUGGAUGGAUUCCAUUCUAUUUACUUUACUUUAUUUAUAUACAAUUAAUAAACGUCUAAUAACAUUGUUUUAUCUAUUAAAAGUCUGUUACAGCCUAUGUUUAGAUUUCCAGUAAUUUCAACCAAUGAAUUGUGUGUUCUGUGUUCACAGUGUAUAAUUUUGACUCUGUUUUAUUAAUCGUGUUGUUCUGGCGUUGCACAGCACUGAACAUUGUUAAGUCAAAUGCAUCAGUUCACUUUGCAACAACAGUUUGUCUCCUCUUCUCCAAAGUAUCUAGGCCUAUAUUCAGCCAAAUUGCAGCGCAACAACCUCCAAUAGGAAUCACUCAGCUUUGACACACCCCUCUUUUUAGCUACUGCUACUCUCUGUUCAUCAUAUAUGCAUAGUCACUUAUAUAACCAUACCCGCAUGUACAUACUAC
rnacentral:lncRNA from 1 species